rnacentral:rRNA from 1 species
UACGUAGGGUGCAAGCGUUAAUCGGAAUUACUGGGCGUAAAGCGUGCGCAGGCGGUGAUGUAAGACCGAUGUGAAAUCCCCGGGCUCAACCUUGGAACUGCAUUUGUGACUGCAUCGCUGGAGUGCGGCAGAGGGGGAUGGAAUUCCGCGUGUAGCAGUGAAAUGCGUAGAUAUGCGGAGGAACACCGAUGGCGAAGGCAAUCCCCUGGGCCUGCACUGGCGCUCAUGCACGAAAGCGUGGGGAGCAAACAGG